GCCCAGACUCCUACGGGAGGCAGCAGUGGGGAAUAUUGCACAAUGGGGGAAACCCUGAUGCAGCGACGCCGCGUGAGCGAUGAAGUAUUUCGGUAUGUAAAGCUCUAUCAGCAGGGAAGAAAAUGACGGUACCUGACUAGGAAGCCCCGGCUAACUACGUGCCAGCAGCCGCGGUAAUACGUAGGGGGCAAGCGUUAUCCGGAUUUACUGGGUGUAAAGGGAGCGUAGACGGCAAUGCAAGCCAGAUGUGAAAGCCCGGGGCUCAACCCCGGGACUGCAUUUGGAACUGUGUAGCUGGAGUGUCGGAGAGGCAGGCGGAAUUCCUAGUGUAGCGGUGAAAUGCGUAGAUAUUAGGAGGAACACCAGUGGCGAAGGCGGCCUGCUGGACGAUGACUGACGUUGAGGCUCGAAAGCGUGGGGAGCAAACAGGAUUAGAUACCCUGGUA
rnacentral:rRNA from 1 species